AGUCACUGACAUUAGAUACCCGUGUAGUCCAGGGUGUAAACGCUGCAGACUUGGUGUUGGAAGCCCUUUGGGGGCAUUCAGUGCCGGAGAGAAGUUGUUAAGUCUGCUACUUGGGGAGUACGUCCGCAAGGAUGAAACUUAAAGGAAUUGGCGGGGGAGCACCGCAACGGGAGGAGCGUGCGGUUUAAUUGGAUUCAACACCGUAAAACUCACCAGGGAAGACUGUUACAUGAAGGCCGAGAUGAAGACUCUGCUAGAUUUUUCAG
rnacentral:rRNA from 1 species